rnacentral:rRNA from 1 species
UGCCAGCAGCCGCGGUAAUACGGAGGGUACGAUCGUGAAUCGGAAUGACUGGGCGCAAAGCGAGCGCAGGCGGUCUGAUCAGUCGGAUGUGAAAGCCCCGGGCUUAACCUGGGAAUUGCAUUCGAUACUGUCAGACUAGAGUAUGGGAGAGGGAAGUGGAAUUUCUAGUGUAGCGGUGAAAUGCGUAGAUAUUAGAAGGAACACCAGUGGCGAAGGCGGCUUCAUGGCCCAAUAAGGAAGCGCUGGCUAGAACGCGUGGGGCGCGAACAGGAGUAGAUC